AUUAGCCAGUUGGUGGGGUAAAGGCCUACCAAAGCGACGAUGGGUAGCCGGCCUGAGAGGAUGAUCCCCCACACUGGUACUGAGACACGGACCAGACUCCUACGGGAGGCAGCAGUGAGGAAUAUUGGUCAAUGGGCGCAAGCCUGAACCAGCCAUCCCGCGUGCAGGAUGACGGCCCUAUGGGUUGUAAACUGCUUUUAUACACCAAGAAAAACAUCCACGUGUGUUGGACCCGACGGUAGUGUAUGAAUAAGCAUCGGCUAACUCCGUGCCAGCAGCCGCGGUAAUACGGAGGAUGCAAGCGUUAUCCGGAUUCAUUGGGUUUAAAGGGUGCGUAGGCGGCUUUUUAAGUCAGUGGUGAAAUCCUGCCGCUUAACGGUAGAAUUGCCAUUGAUACUGAUAGGCUAGAAUAUGGUUGCUGUGGGUGGAAUGUGUUGUGUAGCGGUGAAAUGCAUAGAUAUGACACAGAACGCCGAUUGCGAAGGCAGCUUACUAAACUGUUACUGACGCUGAUGCACGAAAGCGUGGGGAGCGAACAGGAUUAGAUACCCUGGUAGUCCACGCCGUAAACGAUGCUCACUCGCUGUUUGCGAUACACAGCAAGCGGCCAAGCGAAAGCAUUAAGUGAGCCACCUGGGGAGUACGAUCGCAAGGUUGAAACUCAAAGGAAUUGACGGGGGCCCGCACAAGCGGAGGAACAUGUGGUUUAAUUCGAUGAUACGCGAGGAACCUUACCUGGGCUUAAAUGUAGGCUGCAUUCGGCUGAAAGGCUACCUUCCCUUCGGACGAUCUACAAGGUGCUGCAUGGUUGUCGUCAGCUCGUGCCGUGAGGUGUCGGGUUAAGUCCCAUAACGAGCGCAACCCUUAUCGUUAGUUGCCAGCGGAUCAUGCCGGGGACUCUAGCGAGACUGCCACCGUAAGGUGUGAGGAAGGUGGGGAUGACGUCAAAUCAGCACGGCCCUUAUGUCCAGGGCUACACACGUGUUACAAUGGCCGAUACAAAGGGCAGCUACCAGGUGACUGGAUGCUAAUCUCCAAAGUCGGUCUCAGUUCGGAUCGAAGUCUGCAACUCGACUCCGUGAAGUCGGAUUCGCUAGUAAUCGCGCAUCAGCCAUGGCGCGGUGAAUACGUUCCCGGGCCU
rnacentral:rRNA from 1 species